GAGAGAGAGAGAGAGAGAGAGAGAGAGAGAGAGAGAGAGAGAGAGAGCGAAAUCGUGUAACUUGACGGACUGAAGAGCGUCGCAUGCGCAGUGUUUACAAACAAAUGUGUAGCUGGUGUCUGAGAUUUUCUACCCCACAGUCUUUGCCAGGAUACUCAUGCUACAUAUUUUCUGCUAGCAGCAGGAGAUACUUCUACUCGAAGUUUGUUGUACAGUUGUUCACGUUUGUUUGUUUAUUAGCUCAUUAGCCGAACGUGUGUUUGUUAGCAUUCAUUAGCAAAGUGAAUGGACUCAUAGUCACUAUAACUAACACACGAAUGAUUUAUUAGCUUUCAUUAGCACAGUGAAUGGACUUGUAGCCACUGUGUAGCUAACCCAGCUAACGCUAUAGGCUUUAGUUCAUUGUUUUCGACGUGGAAACCCUGAGGAUUUAAUGGACAGUGCCAUGAGCUACCAAGUCAACGCUCAGAGAGACUUUUCACUACAUGGGCCGGACCCGCCAUUUUUGGACUUCAGCGUGUAUCCUGUUCCUUCCCGGAGAUCGAGGGCUGGUAUAAACUGCAUCCUGUUCCCUCCCAGAGAUCGAGAGGCUGGUAUAAACUGCUGAUUGGAGUCCGACUUCAUGACCAAGUUGGAUGUUUGAGCUUCACUGUGCAGAAUGAUGUAUGUGUAAAAUUUAACACUACAAGGUUGUUCACAUUUGUCUGCUGAAGAGGGCAAGUUUCUCUGUGCUCAUCUUAAAUCUGGGUCUGAGGGAUGGGCCUAUGAGUAGGAUUUGUGACACCACAACUAGUUUGGAGCCAAUCAUGGUCCAGUUUGCAACUAAUAAAAGUGCGAUGUGGAAACCUGAAGCCUCUGGUGCACAUGAACUGGCUCGUGCACAUAAACUGGCUCAUUCACAACUGUGUGACUGUAAGGUAAUUAACAUCCUUGUUGUAUUGUCUGUAACUUAAGUCUAGUUUUCUGAGUAUUCUUUAACUGUGGCUGUCAUUAAUAUGCUGUUGGGAAAAUAAAACUGCACUUUGCCAUAGGCCAUCAAAGCACAUGACAACCACCAAAAAUACAUCAUAUUGUGAUAUGGGUUAGAUAUGUACUAAUUCUUCAUUCACUUACUAAAUGCCUAUUUUCAGGAUGGAAAAAAAUUACACAUUUUCAAUUGGGAUUCUAUGGUGAAACACACACAUUUGCACACAGGCUGAGGAUGUGAAAUAAAGCUGUUUUACCAGAGUGUGUCUUCACCAUGGCAGUAAACUCUGGAGACUGAUAGUGCAGACAGUAUGUAUAACGGCAGCAUGCUCUGUCAGUUCUCCUCCUUGUUCACAAGAGUCCUGGGAUUUACAUAGUCCGAGUCCAUCCUUAAUGAGAGCUGUAAUCAUCCUAUGCACUGGACCAGACAAUCCAGCUAACGAAGACAACCGUAAGAUGAAGAAACCAAACACACUUCUCAUACACUCCUCUGGGGCUUGUGUUGCAGUCUUAAUCACAGAACUUGACAACACAUUCCACGCUUGUCAUUUCCAGGCUUUGAACUUGAUCUAAUUUUGCAUUUCUGGUAGAGUUUAGUCAGACCAAUUAUUUUACUGACACAAGCUGUUCCACGAUAAUUCAACCUAUAGAAUCUAAUAAACUGUUUUUACACAGACUGGCAAUGCCCACAGCACUUUUCUUGAAUGCAGCAAAGAGAAGGAUUCUGUGGGUAAAUAUGAGGCGACAAGCAUCACCACUAAAACUGCUCUUCCAGAACUGUACAGUCCACCAACCAUGUCUAUUACUUGCUUGACAAUGUGUACUACCAUCCUGUAAUUGAUAGAUCCUGAUGUUUAACAGAUUUUAAUAGCAUUCCUCAGGGAUGCAGAAAUUCAGUGGUCACCCUGCCAAACCAACUAAUCCGUUUCUGAUCUGCCAUUAAAAGAGUACUCCACCAGUUUAGCAUUUUUUAUACAGUUGUGAAGUGGGAUGAGGGCCACAAGUUCCAGUAGUGUUUUUCUCCAUUCUGUAUUCCCAUUUUAUUUUUCCUUUAAACAAUUUUCUCAGUAUUACUUAACAUAGAAACACAGGACUCUCACAGAUUAUAUAACGAUCGUAUGGGUUUAUGUUAUGACCACCAGUUUCUAUGAUUUCAACUUUGUUUUUGCCUGUAAAUUCAGCAUAGUGGAUGGCUAACAAUACUACAGUACCCAUGUGCCUGUUUCCUAUGGAAAAGAAACUAGUCAGUGGUGCAAAUCAGAGCAGUAAUGAAUUCAAAACACUUCCUCGUUGCAGUGUCGUAAACAAAACAUGAUUUUAUAGUUACUGAAUUCACUCAGAAGUGACCUAGAAAUUAGAAGUGAACUGAUUUACCCUCCAGAUUGUAAAAUCAGUUUUCUCAACACUACUCAUUAGCUUCCUCCUGCCUUCCACCAGUAAACAUUGAUUUACUGUGUCUACUGUGGUUGACACAGUAAAUCAAUGUUUCUUGCCGAAAUGCACCUUGAGAGUGUUUUAAAGUUUUUAUGUACACAGUCCUGUACCUUUGACAUUUUAUCAAAGAACCAGCUAUUUUCUAAUGCAUUUGUUCAUCUUUUGCACUAAUGAUUCAACCGGGAGAGUUUCGUGUUGGUCCAAGUCGUAGAAAUGCUCAAACUGUGAGUCACCUAACAUUGUCUAUGGGGAAAAUGCAUGGGAUUUUUACUACCAUAUAGUCCCUCCCACUUCACAACUCUAACUGUCACAUAUGGGGCCUGGCACCUUCAUUACCCACAAUACAAAUCUGCUGACUGUUCAGUUGGAGUUUCUGGUUAUGCUAGUAUUUGACUAAUGUAAUCUUGAGCCGCUAGCCUUAAGCAGACAGCUCACUUCUUUCUAACCCCACACCCCAAGAGGGAUGAUGUCACUAAAGGCAAUUUAUCAGAUUUUGCUCUGCAAGCUCUCGAGCCACAAAAGACUUUGCUUUUUUUUUUGUUUAUUUGUUUUGUUUUUUUCCCCACAUAUGCAGUAAUGUGUAAAACCAGUGGACAUCCCCUUUAAGGUCUGGCUAAGUUUAGUGCUGAACUAAUUAGUCAAUUAAUCAAUUAAUAAAAAAAUAACUGACAACAAUUUUGAUAUGUGAUUCAGUCACAAUCACAAUUUACAGAGGGGCAAGACGGGAGAGAGUUACAUAAGCCCUUGUGAAGUUUCCUUACCCUUUGUGUUCAUGUUUUUCUCUGUUUGAAUGUCUUCUUUCUCCCUAAAGCCUCUGAUACAUAAAGAGAGUACACCUGAGCUGGGUGAGUUCACAGACAAUAAAAGAGGAAUGGUGAAGCAGGAAGUACUGGAUAGUGAAUAGCUCUCUGUCAGCACAAAGCUCUUUUGUUACAAUGGAGUUUAUUUUAUUUUGGGUCGGAGAUCAAUGGUAGUUGUAUUUUCACAGUCUGUUUUUGAGUUUGUUUAGUUUCCAGAUGCUUCUGUUAGUUGACAUCUGAGGCCAACUUUCCCCAUCAUUUUCUUGAGUUUUUCCAGGACUUGAAAGUUCCCUUUUGUUUGAGCUUAAAGAUUCAAUUUUGUUGUAUGAUUAAAGAAAAUAUUUUCGAUUAA